rnacentral:tRNA from 1 species
GGUUAAAAAGCUUUACGACUAAGCAUGUGUCUUGAAAUCACAAGAAAGGAGUUAGAUCCCCCUAUUAACCU